rnacentral:rRNA from 1 species
GACGAACGCUGGCGGCGUGCCUAAUACAUGCAAGUAGAACGCUGAAGGAGGAGCUUGCUUCUCUGGAUGAGUUGCGAACGGGUGAGUAACGCGUAGGUAACCUGCCUGGUAGCGGGGGAUAACUAUUGGAAACGAUAGCUAAUACCGCAUAAGAGUAGAUGUUGCAUGACAUUUGCUUAAAAGGUGCAAUUGCAUCACUACCAGAUGGACCUGCGUUGUAUUAGCUAGUUGGUGGGGUAACGGCUUACCAAGGCGACGAUACAUAGCCGACCUGAGAGGGUGAUCGGCCACACUGGGACUGAGACACGGCCCAGACUCCUACGGGAGGGAGCAGGAGGGAAUCUUCGGCAAUGGACGGAAGUCUGACCGAGCAACGCCGCGUGAGUGAAUAAGGUUGUCGGGUCGUAAAGCUCUGUUGUAAGAGAAGAACGAGUGUGAGAGUGGAAAGUUCACACUGUGACGGUAUCUUACCAGAAAGGGACGGCUAACUACGUG